UUUUAUAUAGCUCAGUCGGUAGACCAUGAGACUCUUAAUCUCAAGAUUGUGGGUUCAAGCCCCACAUAGAAU